rnacentral:rRNA from 1 species
AGUGUGGAGGAUACACCUGUUCCCAUGCCGAACACAGAAGUUAAGCUUCUUAGCGCCGAUUGUAGUGAAGGGUUUCCCUUUGUGAGAGUAGGA